GUACGUCGCUAACUCGGUUAGCUGGAUUUGAUUGUUGACGAUUUGGCAUGAUCUUGGAUUGUUUGGUUCUUCGAAGCUCAUCCUGGACUUGCUGUCAUAGCAACAGGUGCUGACGAUGGGAUCCUGUUUGGCGACAGGGGCUAUGCCUUCAGGCAGGCAGUACUUCAUGACACCAUUCCCUGGACCACAAACCCGUUACAAUGCAGCUCUAGCCAGGACAAGGCCACGCAUUGAAAUGACCUUUGGCCAACUAAAGGAAGAUUUCAGUGUCUUAAGGGUCUGAGGGUUGCACCUGGAGAGGACCCCUGUGGUGGAGGUGCAGCCUGAUGAUGACCUCCAGCCAGUGCACUUGGACCAAUAGUGGCAGAGCUGCACAGGACAGUAUUGUGGAACACGAUUUUAUGAAUUCUUUUUUUUACACAUAAACUUUCAUUAAAUGAAUAAUAGAAGACAACA